GACGAACGCUGGCGGCGUGCUUAACACAUGCAAGUCGAACGGAAAGGCCCUGCUUUUGUGGGGUGCUCGAGUGGCGAACGGGUGAGUAACACGUGAGUAACCUGCCCUUGACUUUGGGAUAACUUCAGGAAACUGGGGCUAAUACCGGAUAGGAGCUCCUGCUGCAUGGUGGGGGUUGGAAAGUUUCGGCGGUUGGGGAUGGACUCGCGGCUUAUCAGCUUGUUGGUGGGGUAGUGGCUUACCAAGGCUUUGACGGGUAGCCGGCCUGAGAGGGUGACCGGCCAAAUUGGGCCGAGGAUAGGGCCAGGCCUCCUCCGGGGGGAAGAGGGGGGGAAUUUGGCAAAAUGGGGGGAAGCUUGAUGCAGCAACGCCGGGGGGGGGAGGAGGGCCUUCGGGUGUUAACCCGCUUUCGCUUUUGAAGAAGCGCGGGGGAGGGUAAUGGGUAAAAAAGCACCGGCAAACUAGGG
rnacentral:rRNA from 1 species